rnacentral:rRNA from 1 species
GAUGAACGCUGGCGGCGUGCCUAAUACAUGCAAGUCGAGCGAACAGAUCAGUAGCUUGCUCCUUUGACGUUAGCGGCGGACGUGUGAGUCACACGUGGGUAACCUACCUAUCAUACUGGGAUAACUUCGGGAAACCGGCUCUAAUACCGGAUAACAUUUGGAACCGCAUGGUUCUAAAGUGAUUGAUGGUUUUGCUAUCACUUAUCGAUGUAUCCGCGGCGUAUUAGCUAGUUGGUAAGGUAACGGCUUAACAAGGCGACGAUGCGUAGCCGACCUGAGAGGGGGAGCGGGCACACGGGAACGGAGACACGGAACAGAAUACUAAGGGAGGCAGGAGUAGGGAAUGUGGCGGAAGGGGGGAAAGCCGGACGGAGGAAGGAAGCGUGAGGGAUGAAGGGGUUGGGGGGGUAAAACUCUGUUAGUAGGGAAGAACAAAUGGGUAAGGAACAGGGGAAGUCUUGACGGUACCUAAACAGAAAGCCACGGCUAACUACGUG